GCCCCUCCCACAAGGGGAUUACGUGCUUGCGUCAUUGCGCUUUACGUGCAGUCGUGCCGCCAAUCUCGCGUGAUGAGGCUGUGGUGUGGGGAUUUUGUGUACAACAGGGGAAGCUUGCAGUUGAUGGCUUUGUGGGAGGUGUAAGUAGCGGUCCUGGACUGGGGACUGUGUUAGGAAACGAGGGGCUGUUGGGCAGUGUGCGUCUGCUUAAAUAAGAGGGUGAAAUCCGAGCUCCCCCCCCAAGCCUAUCCAAUCCCCGUACGGCUCUACGAAGACGAGAACUGUGACAACACGAGCAGUACAUACAGCUCUGUAGGGGAAUAAAGACAGACAAGCUAUUUACCUCCAUUCCGAACUCUGAAGCUCACUGACAGCAGGGAGACGAGUAACACAAUGGACCGGAGUUCGAAAAGACGACAAGUGAAGCCUUUGGCAACUUCCCUUCUUGAAGCAUUGGAUUAUGAUAGCUCAGAUGACAGUGAUUUUAAAGUUGGAGAUGCUUCAGAUUCUGAUGGAAGCUUGAACGGGAGUGACGAUAUGUCAAGGGAUAGUGCUGAUGGCUCUGGAAGUGAGUCAGAAGAAAAUAUAAUGGAGAGAAUACCAGCUGCUGCAGUGGAAACAGAAGAAAAAAGACCUGAAGAAGCGUUGACAUGCUCAGCUGGAAAUGAACAGGGAAUUAUAGAUCUGAGUAAAGAAGAACAAAAAAAAGAUGAAAAUGAAAAAUCUCGAAAAAGAAAGGAGAGGAUAUCUGAUGUUGACAUUAGCAACGAUGAUCAAACAAAUGAACCAAAGAAAUGGAAUCUACGCAGAAACAGACCCAUGUUAGAUUUUAUCUCUAUGGAAGAAUUAAAUGCAAUGGAUGAUUAUGACAGUGAAGAUGACAAUGACUGGAGGCCUUCUGCUGGCAAGCGAAAAGGGAAAACGACAUCCCUAGGUGAUGCAAGUGACUGUGAGGAUGAUGAGGAAGAGGAUGGAAGUGAUGAGGGAUCUAACUAUCAGGCUGGUCAUGAUAACUGCAGUAGUUCUAGUGAUGAAGAAGGGAAGAAGAAGAAGAAAAUAAAGUUUCCUAGUAGGAAUAGUGCUGAUGAUGAAGAGCUGACGAAUGACAGCCUGACACUGUCUCAAAGCAAGAGUAAUGAGGACUCACUCAUUUUAGAGAAAAGUGAAAAAUGGAGCUCCCAGAAAGUGGAUCAUAUCUUAAUAUGCUGUGUUUGCCUUGGGGAUAACAGUGAGGAUGCAGAUGAAAUAAUCCAGUGUGACAAUUGUGGUAUAACUGUACAUGAAGGUUGCUAUGGUGUGGAUGGAGAAAGUGAUUCCAUUAUGAGCUCCGCUUCUGAAAAUUCCACAGAACCAUGGUUCUGUGAUGCUUGCAAAUGUGGGGUCUCUCCAAGCUGUGAACUAUGCCCCAACCAAGAUGGAAUUUUUAAAGAGACUGACGCAGGAAGAUGGGUCCAUAUUGUCUGUGCCCUUUAUGUCCCAGGUGUAGCUUUUGGAGAUAUUGACAAAUUACGUCCAGUAACGCUAACAGAAAUGAAUUACUCAAAAUACGGAGCUAAGGAAUGUAGCUUUUGUGAAGAUCCUCGGUUUGCCAGGACAGGAGUUUGUAUCAGUUGUGAUGCAGGGAUGUGCAGAUCAUACUUUCAUGUGACUUGUGCCCAGAAGGAAGGUUUGCUUUCGGAAGCUGCUGCUGAAGAGGAUAUUGCAGAUCCUUUUUUUGCUUAUUGUAAACAGCAUGCUGACCGAUUUGACAGGAAAUGGAAAAGGAAAAACUAUCUAGCCUUGCAGUCAUAUUGUAAAAUGUCCUUAAAGGAGAGAGAAAAACAGUUAGCGCCUGAAGCACAGGCCCGCAUCAGCACUAGGUUGCAACAGUAUCGUGUGAAGUCUGAACUGGCUCGCAGUACAAGACCUCAGGCGUGGGUUCCAAGAGAAAAGCUUCCUCGGCCUCUUACAAGCAGCGCAUCUGCUAUACGUAAACUAAUGCGCAAAGCUGAGCUUAUGGGAAUAAGCACGGAUAUUUUUCCUGUUGAUAAUUCAGACACAAGUUCUAGUGUGGAUGGCAGAAGAAAGCAUAAACAACCGGCUUUGUCUGCUGAUUUUGUCAACUAUUAUCUUGAGAGGAACAUGCGGAUGAUGCAACUUCAAGAAAAUAUGACAGAGCAGAAGAACAUUAAAGACAAACUAGAAAAUGAGCAAGAAAAACUUCACAUUGAAUAUAACAAGCUUUGUGAAACAUUAGAUGAUCUUCAAAAUAUGAAUAGCAGCUUAAGAAAUGAAGGACAGACACUAUGGAUAAUGAUGAGUAAAAUUGCUGGACAAAAAACAAACAUACCAGCAAUUCUGCGUUCUCCAAAAGAAAGAAAACCAAGUAAAAGGGAAGGAGGAACCCAAAAGACUUCACCAUUGCCAGCAGUUUUGUAUAGUUGUGGUAUAUGCAAGAGGAGCAAUGAUCAGCACUUACUUCUUUUGUGUGAUACUUGCAAACUGCAUUAUCAUCUUGGGUGCCUGGAUCCCCCUCUAACUAGGAUGCCUAAAAAGACAAAAAAUAGUUACUGGCAAUGCUCUGAGUGUGACCAAGCAGGAAGCAGUGAUAUAGAAGCAGAUUUUGCAAUGGAAACUUUACCAGAUGGCACCAAGAGGUCAAGGAGGCAGAUCAAAGAACCUAUAAAAUUUGUCUCUCAGGAUAUGCCACAAGAUACAAAGAAGACUCCACUAAGAAGCACACAGAAACACUGCUAUAGAGGAAGAAGGAAGAGCUCGCAUUUUGUCACUUCUGAUGACCUCACGAGUGAGAAGCAAUCUUUGGAUUCUUCUAGGCAAUCAGAGUUACAGCAUGAGCACACACAGCGGGGUGAUGUUUUGUCGAGAACCAGAGGCCAGAAACGUAGAAGAAGUUUCAUGCUUGAAGAAGAGAAACUUGAGGAACGUACUCCUAGAGAAAGAAGGAGAAGGCAACCAAUGGCAUUGCAUAAAAAGCCUAAAUCUGAUGACUUAAGAACAGAAUGUGCAGUAUGUAAAGGAACUGGAGAUAACGAAAACCUUGUAAGGUGUGAUGAAUGCACACUGUGCUACCAUUUUGGCUGUCUGGACCCUCCUUUGAAAAAGUCCCCUAAACAGACAGGUUAUGGGUGGAUUUGCCAAGAAUGUGACUCUACAUCAUCCAAAGGUCUGCAUUGAAUAUUCUGUGAAGGAAGUCUAUCAAAAUGCUGCAGGGUCAUCUGAGUCUGCAGCCACAAGGAAGACGAAAGUGAACAGACCGAGGCAAAGUCACCACAGCCGCUCAUCUCAGAAGUGGAAUAAUCUUGAAAGACAUGUUGUGGAAGGGUGAAAGUUCUUAGGAAUUCUUGGAAAAUGGGCUUUGAACAUGAAGCAUCAUCAUUUUCUCAGUAUAUACAAAGACAUCAGCUGUUCUUCAAAAUGCUGUAAAUAUUUUUUUCUGCUUGUUCUACAUCAAAAUGUUGUCUUUGUUUUUUGUUAGCGGAAUCGAUUUUUUUUUAGAGUUUACAGUUAACAGGUUUAUUACUUGAACCUUAAAGAGCCCAGUAAACGACUGGAAAUUGGACGAUAGAACUGGCUACAUUAAAAGCUGUUGGAACCACUAGAUCUUUAUUUCUGUGUUUUUGUUUUCAUAGGUAACUUUAGCUUUCAGUGGAGAUAUCCAAUGUGCUAGGUGGCACUAAAUAAAACCCGUUGAAGUUAUUUCAUAUAUAUUUUUCAACACUACGUGGUUGUCAUUAAAAAAAAAAAAAAUGUGCAUGAAAACAUUGUCCAGAGUUCAGUAAAUUCAUUUAUUAUUUUUGCAUUUUCUAGAAGACAUAUAGACUAUCUGCUUUCUAACAGCAGUGUUAUUUUAUUUAUAGCUGUACAAACAAGGAAUGUCUGUAAAAGGAGACAGUGGGGGGGCAAUAUGAUGAAAGUGCCACUUGCUAGGCUGCAGAGUUGUAAAACAAUAGCAACCGUGUAUCCAGUGACCACCAGUUUUUGUUAUACACAGUCCUUUAAAUGGACUGCAGAGUUCUGUGUGUGAUACAAAGGUGUUUUAAUUGCAUCAUACUGCACUGAAAGUGAGGAGUCGUUUGUUAACUGUACUUCUUACCUUGGCAUGCUCAUGGGGCAUUGGAGAAGAACAUCUGUACAGCCUGCACGUUUAUUGUAUUCUAACAGAUCUGAACAUAUUGCAGGUAAUACUGUAUUUGCUUUGUUCCUUACUCAUGUUUAAUUAAAAUAAUAGAACCUAGCCUACAAUGUUCUACUCCCCUAUACAGAGAAUAAAGGAGUAAAAAAAACAGUACAGGUAUCGGACCCUUUAUCUGGAAACCCAUUAUCCAGAAAGCUCUGAAUUACGGAAAGGCUACGGAAAUAAUUCACAUUUUUAAAAAUGGGGUCCUUUUUCACUGUAAUAACAAAACAGUACAUUGUACUUGAUCCCAACUAAGAUAUAAUUAAUCCUUAUUGGAGACAAAACAAUCUUAGUGGGUUUAAUUACAGUUUAAAUAAUUUUUUAACAAACUUAAGGUAGGAGAUCUGAAUUACGGAAAUACCACUUAUCCGGAAAACCCCAGGUCCUGAGCAUUGUGGAUAAUGGGUCCCAUACCUGUUGAGGGUUUUAGCAGCCCUGUAAUUGGUUAUUUGUUUAUUUGUUUCAUCAAGCACAUAAUUGUGGGUGUUUAUUUCUAACUCAUGUGCUGUACAUAUUGAACUCUACAUGUAAACCAUGCCAAUAAAAAAAAUAUAUUUCUUUGUUUA